GGCUGACUAACUCAGUGGUAAGAGCAGUCGCCCGGCAAGCGAAAGACUCGGGUUCGAUUCCCGAUUCAGCGA
rnacentral:tRNA from 1 species